rnacentral:rRNA from 1 species
CGGGCCCGCGGCGGAGGUAUGGGUGAAGGACCGCGGCGGUGUGGAAGGCUUGCCCUCUCGCCGGCGGGCUCCGCCUAUCAUUGCGACUACUUAACGGACCAGAUACGCCCGCUGAAUUUAAGCAUAUAAAUAAGCGGUGCAAAAGAAAUCAACAGAGAUCGCCCCAGUAGCUGCGAGCGAAAAGGCGGGAGCCCAUCCCUGAAGGUCGGCCAGUUGCUGGUGCAGACCGGUGUAGGGUAGAAGCCGUCGACCAUGGAGCUGUGCAGGGCGCGCGAAGACGGGCUGUCAUGCCCGGACCACAGAGGGUUAGAGUCCCAUAGCGUGCCCGGCCUGCCCCGCCGGUCGGCGGUAGAGGAGUACGUAUGCUUGAUACUGCAUGCGGAAGACAGGUGGUAUGUACCAUCUAAGGCUAAAUUCUGUUGGGGAAGACCGAUAGCACAAAAGUACAGUGAUGGAAAUGUGCAAAGCACCCCGCAAGGGGGGUGGAAAGGGCGCCAAAGCGUUUAUGUGGAACCUGGCGGCCAGACGUGAGCCUAGGGAAGCGGGACCUGGUGCGGUUUAGCGGCCGCACCGCCGGGACCGUGUACCCCGAAGGGCAGCGGCGGGCCCUCCUGUUGGAAGCGGUUGUGCGGGCUGGUCGGUGCAUGUGCCUUAGUGCUAAUACUGCCCGGCUGUGAUCCCCGCCGCCAAGACAGGUGCGGUCAUCGGGGCUGGGAGGCGGGUUGGGAUGCGGGGCGAGUAGCGUGGAGGCUGGUCUCACGGGUCUGACCCUGGGCCGCUCCCCGCCAAAGCCCGCUCCCGGCCCACCACCUCUCGUGUCCUCCCGCCGUGACGCAGCGUCGCCAGACCCGUCUUGUAACACGGACCAAGGAGCGCGACUCACAUGCGAGGUGAAGGGGUCUCAUCCCUGGAGCCGAAACUAACAUGAUACGGGCUAACCUCAACAGGUCAGGCCCCCCGCUUAGGGGGGCCGCCUGGUGGGGGUCCCCCCGGCCCGGGUCGACGGCGCACUCGCGCCCAAGCCUGCGGUGUAGUAUGUGGGUUGCAACCCGAAAACCGACGAGCUAUACGUGAGUAGGGUGAAGCCGGGGGAAACCCUGGUGGAAGCCCGCAGCGGUUCUGACGUGCAAAUCGAUCGUCAAACUUGCGUAUAGGGGCGAAAGACUAAUCGAGUCGGUUAGUAGCUGGUUUCCCUCGAAGUGUCCCCCAGGAUAGCGGUGGCGCGUCUGAAGCAGCAUGCUCUAGAGAUUAUGAUUGGCGUUCUCGGGGGCUACGGCCCUUGGUCGACUCUCAAACUCCGAAUGUGUGCGCGCCUGUGGCUCCCAGCGGGCCGCGGGCACUUCGUUCUGCGCUGCUAGUGGGCCGUUUCUGGUAAGCAGGACUGGCGCUGCGGGAUGCACCGAAUGCGUGGUUAAGGCGCCGGAGGUACGCCCAAUCGUGUACCACCAAAAGUUGUUGUCGCAUGAAGACAGCUGGGCUGUGGCCAUGGAAGUCGGCAUCAGCUAAGGAGUGUGUAACAACUCACCAGCCGAAUGCGGCAGCGCUGAAAAUGGAUGGCGCUGAGCUGUCUGUUUUCGCCUAUACCACGCCGAGCGCCGCCUUUUAGGUGGCUGCUCGAGUAGAGGGACGCCCCGGCGGGGGAAAGGCUCGGCUUAGCGGCCGCAGUUGACCCGCCGGCGCUACAGAUCUUGGUGUUAGUAGCAAUUACACAAGCAAUAUCCUUGUGGUCUGACGCGGGGUAGGUUUCCGUGACAACAGUUGUUGUUCACGGGUCAGCCGGUCCUAAGCCCUCGGUGCAAACUCUGGACAGGGUUCGAAGCCACUCGUGCCUGGAUGCCGCCUCCUGCAGCUAGCCAAAGCGGGGAAGCGGAACAACAUCUGGUGCGUGGUCCAGCUGCAGAGCGUUGGGGGCGAAAGGGAAGCAGGUUAAUAUUCCUGCGCUCGCUGACUGGGCGGUGCCUAGGAGUAAUCCUUUGCGCCCUGCGUGACGCCUAGCGGGCCGCGGUGGAGAACUUUCUCUUCUCAUUAUGGCUGUCCCUCGCCCUGCGUAGGCGCGUCAAGCGCUGAGCAGGCUUGUGGCUGGCCUGAGAGCGGGCCAAUUCUGGCUCGUACUGUCGGUCUGAAGGGCCCUUGAAAAGCGUGGGAGCGUGCCGUGCCCGCCCAGCCCUGCGAACCGUACCGAUAUCCGCAUCAGGACCCCAAGGUGAGCAGUCUCUAGACUCUAGACCAAAGUAGGUCAGGGAAGUCGGCAACAGCGACCUGUAACUUAGGGAUAAGGGUUGGCUCUGCAGCUGUCGCGGCUGGAUGUGGUCUGUUGUGAACCGCUCUGAUUCUCGGACCGAGAGGCCCCCCAGCGGGGACUUGGAGUCUGGUGGCGGGGCGCGCUGAUCAGCGGGUCCGUGAGGGGCGGCGCAAGCUGCCCUUCUGCCGGUCGCAUUGUGGCGGCACCGCAGAACUGUUGCAGGCACAGCGAAUCUAACUGUCUAAUUAAAACAUAGGGUUCGGUUCUAGGGCGGAAGCCUGCGGGCCGGACCUGAUUUCUGCCCAGUGCUCUGGAUGUCAAUGUGGAGAGAUCCAACCAAGCUCGGGUAAACGGCGGGAGUAACUAUGACUCUCUUAAGGUAGCCAAAUGCCUCGUCAUCUAAUUAGUGACGCGCAUGAAUGGAUUAUUAAGAUUCGCACUGUCCCAACCUACUAUCUAGCGAAACCACAGCCAAGGGAACGGUCUUGGCAAAGAAAGCGGGGAAAGAAGACCCUGUUGAGCUUGACUCUAGUUUGUGUCUGCUGAGUGGGGCGCUUGGUGUAGCAUAGGCGGGAGGCGCAAGCCGACCAUGAAAUACCGCCCCUCGCACGCCUGCUCGGCUAACCUAAUUAUAUCUACAAGCGGGCGGCCUGGCCGGGUUUGUUCCCGCUGCUGGGCGCGCCCGUCUUCUGGUGCACGAGCCGGCCACACCGUAGCCUCCUGGGCUCAGAAGGCUUGGCAGACGCUGGCGGACCCGCGUUGGCGGUAAGCUCCGUCAGUAGCCUCGCUGGAUUUGCCCGCCUGGCGGCGGCGGCCUCUGGUCGGCCUAGUGAGACGUUGGGGACCCACACAGAUGGGGAGUUUGGCUGGGGCGGCACAUCUGUUAAAACAUAACGCAGGUGUCCUAAGCGGAGCUCAGUGAGGGCAGAAACCUCACGUAGAAAAUAAAGAGAAAUGCUCCGUUGACCCGCGCCCUCAGCACAGGCGCGGGCAUAGAAAUAUCGGCUUAACGAUCCUUUUGAGGUUCGUGCAUAACGCAAGAGGUGUCGGAAAAGUUACCACAGGGAUAACUGGCUCGUGGCGGCCAAGCGUCCACAGCGACGUCGCUUUUUGAUCCUUCGAUGUCGGCUCUUCCUAUCAUAGUGAAGCAG